CCUACGGGGGGCUGCAGUGGGGAAUAUUGGGCAAUGGGCGCAAGCCUGAACCAGCAACGCCGCGUGAAGGAAGAAGGCUUUAGGGUUGUAAACUUCUUUUAAGAGGGAAGAGCAGAAGACGGUACCUCUUGAAUAAGCCACGGCUAACUAAGUGCCAGCAGCCGAGGUAAUACGUAGGUGGCAAGCGUUGUCGGGAUUUACUGGGUGUAAAGGGCGUGCAGGCGGGAAGACAAGUCAGAUGUGAAAUCCCGCGGCUCAACCGCGGAACUGCAUUUGAAACUGUUUGUCUUGAGUACCGGAGAGGUCAGCGGAAUUCGUGGUGUAGCGGUGAAAUGCGUAGAUAUAAGGAAGAACACCAGUGGCGAAGGCGGAUUACUGGACGGUAACUGACGCUGAUGCGCGAAAGCGUGGGGAGCAAACAGGAUUAGAUACCCUAGUAGUC
rnacentral:rRNA from 1 species